AUCUCGUUGACGAGUCCCAAAUAGGACGAAAUGCGCAUCCUGAAU
rnacentral:hammerhead_ribozyme from 1 species